UACGGAGAGUGCGAACGUUGUUCGGAUUCACUGGGCGUAAAGGGCACGUAGGCGGCUUGGCAAAUCGGUCGUGGAAUCCCGACGCUUACCGUCGGAACGGCGGCCGAAAAUACCGAGCUCGAGGGCGUGAGGGGUCACUGGAACUCCUGGUGAAGCGGUGAAAUGCGCAGAUAUCAGGAAGAACACCUAUGGCGAAGGCAGCUCUCUGGGACGGUACUGACGCUGAGACGCGAAAGCGUGGGGAGCGAACAGG
rnacentral:rRNA from 1 species